rnacentral:lncRNA from 1 species
UGAGACCAAUUUCUCUCUGAAAUCUAGGUAAUUUUUUGUUGUUUUCUGUUAAAUCAUUUCUUUUGGGUGUUAAACUGUUAAUGGAAGUCACUAUACUGGCUUAAGAAAAAUUUUCUCCUCGUUUAUUAUUAGUUUACAGUUGAUUGUGUUUUUAGAUGUACACUUUGAGUGUAUGCAUAAAUUAGUUUGACUGAAAAAUUUACAAAUACUAGUUUGAAGGCUCAUGAAAAUUCUCAAGGUUCCUCUACUUUAAAAAGUUAAGGUCGUUUCUUCACGAGUAUGGAGGCAUUUAUAUUCUUUUAAUAAAGAAUAUUAAUUGUAGAAAAUGAAUGAUUCACAAGGGCAAAAGCAAUUGUUAUGUUUAUCAGUUUAUGGUUUCCUAAUUUCUUUUUAAAUAAAUAAGAUAUGACAAUGGACAGACAGAUCUGAUUUCAUAUUCAUAUACAUAUAUGAAACUGAUUUGAUCAUGCUGCUUUGAAAUUCCUGAUUUGAUUGCUUGAACAAAGUCCAUCUUUUAGGGAUAAUAGCAUGUGACUUGUGAGCAUAAAAAGAAUUAUUUGAUUUAUUUGAUAAUAGCCAAUGGACAUCACAUUACAAUCUGAUUUAUUUGUGAAAAGAGGGUAUGAAUUAUUUCUUUUAAUACUCAUUCAUUUUUACUUGCAUGUGUUUGUAGAGUUGUUAUGGAUCGACGAGAUCGUGUAAUAAUUGAUUUGAUUGAUGGGGGAGUUGAAAGCUCGGACAUAUUUAUAAAUCUAUUUGCACAGGAUGUCAUGCCAUUCUUGGACUGAGAAGAUGGGAUUGCAUGCAUGUUUUGGAGCUUAUUUUACAGAGCAGAUGCAGUGAGGAGUGAGGAAACAUUGGCUUAUUUCCUAUGGGAUUGCAAGCAUGUUUUUCUUUAGCAGUGUUAUCUUUAAUCUUUCUUUUUCAACAUUUGCAUUGAGGAAUGUAUUAAGUUCAACCAAUUAUUAUUUAUAUGUUAAUCAAUACUGAGAAUAUGAGAUUUUAGCUGGU